GAUGCUGUGCGUGGGAGAGAGAGUGGGAGGAGUGCGCGUACACGGGAGGCGGGAGGCGGGAGGCGGGGCCAGGGAGGAGGAAGACAGCCGCAACGGCGACCAGUGUCGCGCCGGCGGCGGCGAGGAGAGCUCCGGGGUCACCGGAUCGAGCGUCGCCGGGGAGGGGGACACUCCACGGCGGCGGUGCUUGGGGCUCCGACGAGCGGAGGCGAGCGGUGACAGGAGGCGACAGGAGAAGCUCCGCGGCGACCUGAAGGCCAUCAGCCAUGGCCGUUGUGGUUUCGCGUGCGCCCGCGAGCGGCUGCAUGCUGGGGGAGGCGGAGCUUGACGCAGCGCGCGAACCUAGCCUUGGUGCGAGUGCGACGGCGGCGCGGCUGCUGUCCUCCCGUCCAACCCGCAGCACGUCGAGCCUCACCGGAGUUCCUCCAUGACGCCGUAAGCAGCUGCCACUGCCCUCCAUGGAGCCCCGACGCCUCCGCCAUGAACCCAUCCAUCCCUCCUGUGCGCGCUUCCCUGCAAGUCCAGACGCCCGCCCGCAGCUCUCUGCAUCGAGCAGCAGUAGUCCGGGCAGAGGACGACGCCUCUGCCUCGACCGCUCGCCCCCUCUGCUUCGCUCUGGACUGCCAAGCCCCUCCCGUCCUCAUCCCCGUGCAGCUGCGCGCUCUCGCCUGCCCCCACGGUGAGCUCCGCCUCCUGCGUGUGGUCGCCGCCUCCCUCAACCUCCACCACCUGCUGCAAGUUGGUGCCCAGGGCGUCGCAAGCUGCCAGCGGCGGCAGAGUUGCUGCUCCCGUGUCGUGAUUGGACUCCGUGUUCUUCUCCAACAGCAAAUACGUGUUCUUCUCCAACAGCAAAUACGUGUUCUUCUCCAACACCAAUCAAUGGAUUUCCCGAGCCGGAUUUGAGUUGCCUACUAUAAGAAGAAAGGGUCCUCGGACCAGAAGCUCCAUCACAUCAAAUCAAAUCCCGUCAAAAUUGCAAUCUUCGUCGAAACAUCCAUGUUGCCGCCGAGUUCGCCGGAGGAAGAAGCGCAGAGUUCGCCGGAGGAACAAGCGUUGGACGUGUGUGGCGGCGUGCUCGGAGAGCGGGGAGGGGCGCUGUGGUGGUGGAGAUGGCCGACGCCGUAGACAAGCGCUAGGAGCUUCUGAAGCCAUGGCCGAGCGAAGGGGAGAGCCGCCAUGCUAGACGAGAACAAUAACCGUGGUAGAUGAUGUUCAGGGAGAUAUUACAAACUGCUAGAUGUUGCUACUGUAUUGACUAUAAGCUGCUGGAUUUCUUGCUCCCAAGUAUACUUGCUUAUCUGUGCUAUAAUGGAAAAUAGCCUAACCGUUGGACCUUCAGUUUAUUAUAUUUUCUUCUUUGUUCUUGGUAGACAUGCGCAAGUCAAUGGCUGAUCACUUCUUUAUAUGCGAUCCUGAGCUGAUGUGAAGGUCCUAUGUUUUCUUGAUUGGCAGGCAGGUGAGCAAGAGGAGGACCAUAGGUCAGGGAGUGUUUGGUUUCAGGGAGAUCGUUGGGGAGGAGUUCAUGACCAUGUUCCUGUCAGUUUUUAGCCGUAUGGUUCAGAGACUGGUAAUUACUUUGUCAAACACACAUAUUCUUUCUUGAUACGCAUUUUCAUUUUUGGUUAUCUGUGAGAAUGUUUAGUAUACAGAGAAGUUGUUCCGUGGAGCAGCUAAACAAAAAAAAUAACUUUUCAUUUGUGAUAGUUUGCGAUAUGCAGAGAUAGGUAUAUCGGCUCAUGGCCAAACAUAUGAAACUGUUCUUGAUACUAUUUUAUCCUUUUCUUAAUAUCAUCAUCAUACACACACACACACACACACACACACACACACACACACACAAAUUAGAAACUUUCUAACAUCUGCAUAUUUCAGGUUUAGGAGGAUGUAGAGAGAACGAUGUUCAAACAAUUAAGUGCAGCAUCAACAGACGUGUUCCUAAAUUUUGAUGACUAUUAGAAAGAGAGAGGAUAUGGUGACCGAAAGUCUAUGUGUUUGUGCCGUGUACGUGUCGGGCAGUGGUAGAUUAAAGAUAUUUUGUAAUUGGACUUGGCAAGGGAUAGACUAGCAUGAAUUUUUUUUGAGUAGCGAAAUGGCGCAACCCUUCGUGAUUUUUGAAGUUUGAACAGAGUUAUGAACCAUUCGUCGCCUAAUCCCUAGAUUCUUGGAGUAUCAAGAUGGUGUGGCCAUCAGGGUUCCCAUCACCAUGCAUGCCAUGCUUGAGCUCCUCAAGAACGCCACCAAGCUGGCGUGUAAUGGAUGAUGGCUGAUGCAACGGUGGAGGAGGUGUAUUGAUGUCAGUUUGAAGCAAAUCAGGAGAACGCCACCAUCGAUGAGGUUGCCAGGUGAAGGAAGCAGCGGACUGGUGGCAAGGCUUUUCUACUCACCAUCGUUUGAGUUCAUCAUCUGUCGCUACUGUACCCACUCAGUCGUAUCCAUGUUUGCAUAUUCUCUAGCCCAUUCAAUAAUCCACGGUAAGUGGUUAGGAGCUACAUAGUUUCCACUUUUGCCAUGUUUUAUAUACCGAACUAAUAUUUUUUUACAUGAAACUAGAUUCUGAUCUUUUGGUCUUGCCUACUGUUUACUUAUUCAAAUUGAUUCAGUUUUCCGUUCGUGUGCAUUAGUCAGAUUAUAAGUUGUUGCACGCUGCCGCAAGCUGCCCGGAGCCACGCAACCUCUGUCCUAAAGGCACGACAUCGCUAAUAAUUCUGGAUCCACUUCCUCUAGGAAGCAUAGUCAUUGAAACCCAUAAUAUGAGAGACAUUUUAGUUGCCCGAUGGUAGGAUGCUGCUAUGGCGGAAUAAAAGGAUGAUUGUGAUUACAGGUACAUUUUGGAUAAUAGCAGGAAGGAGCUGCUGGAACUAACUAAUCUAGAAAGUAAUUUCUUGAUCUAUUUACUCACAUACACAAGUAGUUGUUGAGGUAAAGCAAUAUGCUUUUUGGGCCCAAGUAGCAUUUACAUUAAUAGUGAUUUUUGUGAGAAGAAAAAUAUUAUAGGCUGAUUCCUAUUGUUACAGUACCAACUUAUCUUAGAAACAGAGAAGCACCAAGCUGGACUGCUGGCCGAGGAGAUGCAUAUGUGGGCACUUUCUGCUGGCCAAGUUCAGAAGCAAAUUAACUGCUUGUAUUUGCAUAAGCAACAGAGAGAAAAUGUUAGAGAACUUAGCAAAAAAAUGAAAGGAGAAAGAAAUGUCUAAGAAAUCGAAGGUAUUGCUGCAGCUGAUAGGUCGCCUACUCCUUUGGAUACCAUUCAUAUCGUACUUAACUCAGUGAGCAAAUUGAGGACUACGGUUAUCUUCCAUGUCUAUGUGAAAUAAAUGCGAUAGUUUCAUAACACCAAAUGGUCCAAAGUGCAUCCAAUACAUGGUCAAGAGCACCACUGACGUUCACGAAACCGAUAAUAUUACAGGACAGUGUAGAUAUGAGUUUUCUAAUUUUGUCAAAUGCAGCUAUGUUAUACUAACAACCCGUGUUUGCAUGUCCUAAUUUAUGUAUGCAAAAGCUGUAUCUUUUGUUGAGCUAUAUUAUAAUAUUAUGUGUAUGUACGCGCAUGUUGCACAGAGAUGUUAUUUGGCAUGCAUGAAUUCUAAUUUUAAUUUAAAGUUAGGCAUGAUUAAUCUCACACACCACAAAAUUUCCUUACUGUGCACUACAUCUUUUAUCUCCAAUUUGGAUAAUAUAAGCGAUAACUCUUUAGUCCGAUUUAAUUAUCUUCAAAAGUUUGCUAGAGGCUAUAGAUGACCUUUUGGUUUUUCUUCAAUAAUUUUUUAUAGUGCAAUUGUAUGAACUGGUUUCCCCAUCAGGGCUGUAUUUUCUUUUCUUUGAUAGAUUCUAGAGUCAUGUACUUCCGUUUCAUGUGCCCAUGUUUGCCAUUAUAUGUGCCUUUCUUGUUGAGCUCUAUUUGGAUGAACUUUUGUUAUGGGAUGUGACUUCAUGGGCAUGAACGGACAUUUUGAUCUAACCUUGUUUGAGAUGUUCUUUUAUGCUUGCCUCAGGCACUCAGCUUUGUGUGGUCAGUGAUGACAAUCGACAGUGUCUCUGUUAAAAAUUAUUCAUAAUUACUAGCAGCAUUCCAUAAUUUGUAUCGGGUUGUUUAUUUAUUUAUUGAGGAAAGGCUUGUAUCAGGCUGUCCUGGUGUGGCGACCUAGGAAGGACAAACAGGGUUGGUCGUCACCAAAGAUGAAAACAUUGUCGAGCCUUACUUUUUGCAAGUUGCCUCACUUCUACUUUUAGAGAAAAGAUAGCAAUUUCAGUCAUGUUGCAUGAACAUUUGUAGAUCGUGGUGCAUCAAGAUCAUAAUUGCUACACUCAAAGGUUACAUUGACCUUAUUUCUGACAUUUGCAAAAAAUGUAUUAAAAAUGUUGCAUAAUGGCACAUGGAGCAAUUUAUACUUAAUAUUUCGCCCGGUGCAACGCACGGGCAUUUGUACUAGU